CCUACGGGUGGCAGCAGUCGAGAAUCAUUCACAAUGGGGGAAACCCUGAUGGUGCGACGCCGCGUGGGGGAAUGAAGGUCUUCGGAUUGUAAACCCCUGUCAUGUGGGAGCAAAUUAAAAAGAUAGUACCACAAGAGGAAGAGACGGCUAACGCGGUGCCAGCAGCCGCGGUAAUACAGAGGUCUCAAGCGUUGUUCGGAAUCACUGGGCGUAAAGCGUGCGGAGGCUGUUUCGUAAGUCGUGUGUGAAAGGCGCGGGCUCAACCCGCGGACGGCAGAUGAUACUGGGAGACUAGAGUAAGGGAGGGGGAAGCGGAAUGCGCGGUGUAGCAGUGAAAUGCGUAGAUAUCGAGAGGAACACUCGUGGCGAAGGCAGGUUCCUGGACAUUAACUGACGCUGAGGCACGAAGGCCAGGGGAGCGAAAGGGAUUAGAUACCCUGGUAGUC
rnacentral:rRNA from 1 species